rnacentral:rRNA from 1 species
UACAGAGGUCUCGAGCGUUAGGCGGAAUCACUGGGCUUAAAGCGUGUGUAGGUGGAUCGGUAAGUACCUUGUGAAAUCCCACGGCUUAACCGUGGAACUGCUUGGUAUACUGCCAGUCUUGAGCCAGCUAGGGGCUACCGGAACAAAUGGUGGAGCGGUGAAAUGCGUUGAUAUGCAGAGGAACUCCGGUGGCGAAGGCGGCCCGCUGGACCCCAUCUGACGCUGAGGCGCGAAAGCCAGGGGAGCGAACGGG